rnacentral:lncRNA from 1 species
GAGGAGGGGGUUCUCCCCCGCUCGGAGCGCGCGGCUGGGGAAGAAGCUGGCGGGAAGCCGGGCCGCGCGCCGAGGAAUCGAUGAUUCGGCCUGUGGGCCGGGUCACUGCGGCGGGGCCCGGGGAGCGCCGAUAGCAUGGAUAGGCUCAGAGGGGCGCAGGGUUUUGGCGGCUUCCCGAGUUCCCCUCGCCGACCGCCAUGUCACAUCUUACGGAAGAGGCGGGGGCUGCCGCGGAGAGGAUAUUUUUUGUUUUGUUUUGUUUUCACAAGUGUGGAAUGCAUCAGUUAAAAUCUCAAGAAACCCCGAGGCAGAGGAUUAAGAGAUACUGAAGAGAAGAUGAGUCUGUGUGCAUUUAUCUGUGCUUAGCCUGCUCCGAAUGGGAACUCAGCUCUCAAAUGAAGACAAGACUGCUCACUCCUGCAGAAAAUGACCUUGUUCUUGAGAGCUGCUGCUAAUUUACAGUGAGGCACUAGGUUUCUACCCAGUGCCACGUGAGCAACCAAUCCAUCUACCCAGGGGCACGGCACUGACGAGCAGCAUCAUUUAGAAGGAAAGAAGUAUGGGUGGUGUUUGUUGUUUCCUGUGUGUUAAGGAAAAUCCAGUGGCUAGCUCCAUGUUUUGUUCACGUGACUCUCAACCUGGUGUGGCCUGGACUCUAGUCCCUGCCUCAAGGAAAGUCCAGACUGACAUAGAAAAUCCCUGCUCACCAGCCUUGACCUUGGGAGAAAGCCCCUGACCUGUGAGUGGACAGAAGGCCUGGUGGUCAGCCCGUGGGAGCCCUGGAGCGUGCACUGCUGGAGCAGCUCAGAAAAAGCUGAGAAGCCAAGACUUGACUGUCAGUCCUGGAGAAUUAGAACAUGCCUGCUAAAUUUCAGUCCACUCUGAGGAAGGGGCAGUGCCCACAAGGAAACCUAGUGGGUGGGGUUCUGGCUGGGACUCAUCUGGAGUUCCCAGGGCAGAUGCCCGGCCCCAGCUUAUAGACCAUGAUGCGGCUGGGCUUCCGUGUCUGAUUCUUAAGUGCCUCAGGUAAACAGACUCUCCUUUGCUUUGCCAGGAGGAAUGACAUUACUAUCAGCAUUGUAAAAGUCUGUGGCCUUUGGGAGAGUAAUUUUACUUCUAAGACUCUCCUCUACAGAGAAGUGUGCACACUGUUCCCAGUGGAGUCUAUAAAGAUAGCAAAGAGCAAAGACUUAAAACAGAAUGGCUCUGGGUUUGAAGUGUUGUGUAUCUAGACAAUGAACAGCCCACCUUUAAACAAGCCCCACAUGGACUGAAGCGGAGGCAGCUCCAAAUGUAUUAGGUGACAGUGCCACAUGGCUCUGUGUGAUGGUAAGAUUAUAUGUGUACAUGUCAUCUCGAAAGGAGAAUUCGGCUUAUCUCUGGGGAGAGAGUCUGCAUCUUUUCUCAUUUGUACCGAGUAUGGAGUGUGUAUCUAUCUCUCUGUCAGAAAUGUCAAGGGAAGGGUUCACCAUUGACCUGAUGCUCACGAAGGUUAGGAACCAAUGCCAACCACAAUGCCCACCUCUACCUUCAGGAGACAGUAAACGCCUUAGAAUACAAAACCCAUAAACAACCAAGACUGUGGUGCCUGCUGGGGCUGGGCCUGAGCUGCACACAGAGGCUAGGUACCGAACAGCUGCCAUGGUAAACUGGCACAGUUAGGCACGCGGCCGGGUUCACACGCCCUCUGCCCUGACUUUAAAGACAGCAGUCUUGGCCCAGCUUCCCUCACCCCCUAUGUAUGAGCAGAGAGCUAUACUUGCUGGGUUUCCAGCUCUUGUAUUUGGACUCCUCUUCUCUUUUCUCUUUUUUGAGAGAGGGUCUCACUGUGUAUUCGUGGCUGCUCUGGAACUUCCUGGACCAGGCUGGCCUUGAUGUAGAUCUCUGCCUUCUAAAAAAUAAAAAUAUGUUUUAUGUGUA